ACAGUCGUCCCUGGAUGUUUUCAUUAGUUUUAAAUGUCACUCAGCGAUUCAAAAAAAAAAAGAAAAAGAAAAGAUUUGGAGAUUUGGUUUAUAUUCAUUCAUUGUCUGGAGUGAAACACGUCCGGAAGCACUUCAUCUCUAACAGCUGCUUCUAGUUUCUGAGUUGCUGACUAGAUCAUUUCCUUCAGCCAUGUACCCACACGUUUAGGGAUUUGGAUUCAUCCCAGGGAGUGCCGGGCUCGGCCUCGAUCUCUUGCACCUUCUUCAGACCCCCACUGGUGACGAACAAGCGCCGGGCCUUGCUGUCAUGAGGCAGCACCUUCGACGGGGAGGGAGGACAGGGUGUAUAUAUGAGCCUUCAUCAUCUGAAUCACCUAAAUUUAUCUGGAUUAAAAAAGCAGACUACUGACACAGGUCACGACCCUGGUCGGGGACUCGCUCACCUUGCUGAACUGGCACACGACGUGUUUGAGGAUUUUGCUCGGGGCAUCGUAGAGGAGGGGCUCCAGACCUGGCAGACCUCUGCCUUAACCCCCAAUCGCAGCUGACCUGUGACCCAAACUAUCUCCUUGUAUGGCUUUAAAAAAAGAGUUUUUCUUAUCCUCUUGCAGCGUUUCAGCUGCUUAAGGCCUUGUUACACACUCUCCCACAGAGCUG